UAAAGAACAUAAGUAAGAGUUUGUACGGUGUAUUACUUUUUUAAACCAGUGACCAAUCUAUUUUGUUUGUAUCCUGCACAGUGAGUUGAUGCUUACAUAUUUACUUUUGAUUAUAACAAAACAAAAUAAAAACAAACAGGAAGGGCAGAGACUGCAAAAAUAUUUGCUGCAAAUGUUUGGUCAGAAAGCUAAUUCCCAUAAAAUUCAGGGACCUAACAAAAGGCAGCAAAGAGUGCUCUCCAGCUCCGAGCUCUCAGAAACUUGAGAGAAGGAGACAGCAUUGGCUGUGGAGAGGCACACAGCACAAGGAAAACACACACAUCAGCUCCAUGGAGAAUGGAGCUGGCGCUGCAAACUGAAGACUCCAAAUUCUUUUCUCCCUCCUCUUCCCGCAUCUGUUUUGGCUGGCAUCCGGCACAAGAAAUCCAACUGAUGUCACCUGCCCAGGCGAGCACUGCUGUGAUUCACUGCUCAAGACAAAAACAAAUCUGAAAAGCAGGCAGACAGCUCAGCAAUCUGGGGACAGGAGAGGGAGAUCACGCUGAACUGCUGCCUGGAGCAGCGGCGCUUCGACUUGCCAGUUACUGCUUCCUCCACCCCAGAUUGCUGCCCUGUCACCUCCCAGAUUCCCAACUGGUUUUGAGCUUUUUUGUGAGCAGCAUCAGGGCAGAGCGACAGGUCACAGUACAAACACACGCUGACCAAAACAGAUGUAAAAAAUAAAGCAGCAAGCGUUUUAAGCUCCUUUGCAGAGAGCAGAGCACGCCAACUCCCAGCGACUGAGCACACUUUGUGAACCCGACGCAGCGCCUCGGGACCUCCUGCACCUCAGGAGCCGAGGUUCUCCCUCCCUCACACCUCUGGAAAUGGAGAACUGCCUGGCUGCAAACCCCAACAGUUAAACUGCCUCCCCUUUCCAUAGGCUACCAUGGGUACGAGAGACAAAGUGCUUAAGCAGCUAACAAUCUCCAUGUACAUAUUGGUACACAUUUGGUGUAGAACACCUGAAAACCAGCAGCUCCAAUGGCAAACUGAUUUUUACAAGUCAGGAGAUAUGCUCUGAGUGCACUGUAAAAAAAAAAAAUGCAUCUCAACAGUGGACAACUUUCCCUCAAAGACAUAGUUCAUAUUAAGGUCUGAAGGGGCUUGUUUAACAAAAUUUUGGAAGUAUCUGAAAACGGGACACUGGUUCUAACACCUGCAAAAACCUUAGACCCCUUUGUGGUAUUGUCUGCUGUAGAUGAACGCAGACGAACAAAAACCUGACAUAGUAAGGUAGAAAACAUGCAAUAAAUUGUCAAAGGAGAUCUGCCAGAAAUAAUCACUAAGUCCAACAUAACAGCGUAGAACUGUUGGCUGGCCACACGACGUUGUGACAAAACAAGGAGCCCUCAGAUCUGUCUGACCUCCUCUGCCUCCCACCCAUUUCGCUGGCAUUCUCUUCGUCCAUCAGUUCUGCAGCACUAGCGCUCUCAAGCUAGUUAAUUGAAUGUUCCUCAUCCAACACAAAAGGCCUAAAAUCACUGAACUGCAGGCAAACCUUUCUUCUAUCCAUAAAGAAAUGAUGAAUCCCAUUUUUGGGAUGUGGAUUCAAGCAGAUUUUGGCUUUUCAGAGGUGUUGAGAAGACUUGUGAAGCAAUGCAAGGCCCCUAACACUCCUCUGUGUUCCCCAACCUGCCCAAGUCACAAGUCAGGAAAUUUCAAGACAGAAAAUCCUCCUGCUUGCUUAAACCAGAGCUACUCUUGACAACAAUGACAGACUAACUUCAUAGGUUUGAUAAAAGCACAAAUCAUAUUGCAAAUCAUGCAGAUCACAUUCUAGCAAAUAGUUUAUAAAUCCCCAUUUUUCUAUGAUAGAAUAUAUAUGGAUAAAUCCAUUAGCCCCAUUCAUCAGACUUCAUUUUUGCAAAUUACACAGAUUGCUUACAUUUGGACAACAGACAGCUUCUGUAAGACAUGCUAAUGCAUUAGGCCAGAAAUUCACCACAUAACAGCAUAUUUACUGCUUAAGGGAGAAAUAUAUUCAAAAAAA